UACGUAGGGACCAAGCGUUGUUCGGAUUUACUGGGCGUAAAGGGCGCGUAGGCGGCCACCGCAAGUCAAUUGUGAAAUCUCCGGGCUUAACUCGGAAAGGUCAACUGAUACUGUGCGACUAGAGUGCGGUAGGGGCAGAGGGAAUUCCCAGUGUAGCGGUGAAAUGCGUAGAGAUUGGGAAGAACACCGGUGGCGAAAGCGCUCUGCUGGGCCGCAACUGACACUAAUGGACGAAAAGCUAGGGGAGCGAAUGGG
rnacentral:rRNA from 1 species